AGUUGGGACAUCUGCCAUCCCAUUGAUUGCCAGGAUUGAUUGGAUUGAACUGGCUGGCUAGACAAAUAUUUCUCCCUCACCUCUCUAUGUGCAUCCAUCCUGAAUUUUUGCUCUUGAGAAUGACCAUUGUCCGCAUGAGAAGUGUAUGAUUCUCAGGGCAAUAUAUUGUUCUUUGGUAUAUAUGAUACCAGAGUAAAUUGUACUUUGGUAUAAACCUGUGAUGGUGAACCUAUGGCAUGCAUGCCAGAAGUGGCACACAGAGCCAUCUCUCCAGGCAU
rnacentral:snRNA from 1 species